AAGGAUUUUGAAGUAUGUUCAAGGUGGUUGUUUAAUCCUUUUAAGCUUCUUGUGUCUGAAGUUUUGAACUCCCAAUUUCUCUAAUAGAUAGCUUCCUUUAACUGGUAGAGGUAAUUGAUGAUGAGUGUAGUAAUUUUGUACAAUGUCUUGUUGAUGACUAUGUUUGGCCAGUAGAUCAGCAGUACCAUUCGCCUCCCUGUAAGUGUGCACACACUGAAAAAACACACAUGGGUUAGCAAGAAUUUGUAAGUCCUGUAUAUACAUGUGUAUCUUCCAAGGGGGAAUAGCAGCCUGCAAGAACCACUUGGUUAAUAAUACAUAAUCAACCUCUAAUAUAAUAUUAGUGUAACCAUGUUGUAUACACCAAUUUAAACCAAAACUGGCAGCCUGAACCUCUGCUUGGUUGUUUGUUCCUUCACCAAAAGGUACAGCAAAAGCAUAUACUAUAUUCC
rnacentral:lncRNA from 1 species